UGGGGCCCCACUGAAGACCUCCUGGGAGUGGUCUUCUUGGAGCAGCGGGUCUGUGAACUGGAGCCCUCCCGGUAGACUGGGAUGCCAUCUAAGAAGACUUCCUGGGUUUGAGAGUGCCCCACCUUCUCAUUUGACUUCCUGUAAGAAAACCAGUAAUGAAUAAAUAUGCUAUCAGCGCUAUGAAUCUCAGCCUAAACCAAAUCAAAUUUUCAUCAUCUCUUGACACCUGCUGGAUCACAUCCUGCUGAUUCUCCAGAAGAUGCACUUCACCAAAAUGCACGGGAUUGGAGUCAGUGCAGAGCAGGUGACCCCCAUGGACCACACAGGCUGAGGCAAG